CCAUAAGUCGUGACCACCAUUGCGGGGCAAUUUUGUCUAAAAGAAAGAGUGAUUUUUCACUUGCCUUCGAUUUUUUCUCUUCUCUACUUCUGAUUUCUUUUGUGGCCCAUAUACCAUAAAUAUUUCCAAACUUUGUCGUGUUUAAUUACACUCCUACAUAUUAAACCUUGAUAUUUCGUCUAUCACAUAACAAUGCUUUCACCACCAAAUAUUCUCGGCAACAAACUUAAGAAAAAAAUUUCGAUUGUUUUUUGUGGAAAUAAGCCCGUCAUUUCCCUCAGCUUUACGUGCUAUUCCUUCUCAUUGUCCCUAUUGAACUUCUAUUUUCGUAACAGAAAUGAAUACCAUGGAAAUGACUUCAAGUCAAACUACCAACGGUACAAAUAAUGUGUUUCCACUGUUGGUUAUACCACUUCAAAAUGCUACGAUCCAACAUGGAUUGGAAAAGUUUGGAGGCAUGGACUUUAAGAGAUGGCAACAAAAGAUGUUGUUCUAUCUUACCACUCUAAAUUUGGCAAAGUUUCGAAAAGAGUCUACACCAAUGGUACAAGAAGGAGAAAAUAAUCAUGAAUUGAUUAUCAUUUUGGAUGUAUGGAAGCACUCGGACUUCUUAUGCAAGAACUAUAUACUAAAUGGAUUAGAUGAUACACUAUAUAGAGUGUAUAGUUUGAAGGACUCGGCCAAGGAUCUAUGAGAUUCGUUGGAAAAAAGUACAAAACCGAUGACAUUGGAACGAAAAAGUUCAUUAUUAGCAAGUUCUUGGACUAUAAGAUGGUAGACUCCAAAAUAGUGAAAAGUCAGGUGCAAGAAUUUCAAGUUCUACUAUAUGACAUACAUGCCGAAAAAAGGAAUUAAGCGAAUAUUUCCAAGUUGCAGCCAUCAUUAAGAAACUCUCUCCUAUGUGUAGAGAUUUCAAAAACCAUCUCAAGUACAAGCAAAAAGAGAUGAACUUGGAAGAAUUGAUAGCCCGCUUGAGGACUGAAGGAGCCAAAAGAAAAAUCGAGAGAAUGUCUAUUGUCCAACUUAGAGCAAACUUUGAUGAAACCAAUUCUAAAAUUGUCAACAAGAAGCGCAAGAUCUCUGUUGAUAGACCAAGAAGAGACAACUCCAAAAAAGCCAAGAAGUUUAAAGGCAACUGUUACAAUUGUGGAAAGGUCGGACAUUGUUUAAGCGAAUGUCAAAAGUUGAAGAACGCAGAAGCAAACAUGAUCGAAAUGGACACCCUGUUCGAAGGGAUACAAUAAAUGAAUCUGUCUACAGUUGUUUCCAAGUGUAAAAUCGUUGGAAACUCAAGGGAUUAGUGGGUUGACACUAGUACUACUCGUAAUAUUUGUGCAGAAAAAGCAAUAUUCUCCAACUAUCAAGAACUGAAUGGAGAACAACUUUUCAUGGUGAACUCUGUAAGUUACAAAGUUGAAGGACAAGUGAAAGUUACUUUGAAUAUGACAUACGGUAAAGAACUCAUCCUUAACAAUGUCGUUCAUGUACCGAACAUUCGAAAAAAUCUUGUAUCCAGGUCUCUACAUAGCAAAAAUAGCUUUAAGCUUGUUUGCAUCAGAUAAAUUUGUACUUACUAAGAAUGAGAUGUGUGUAAGAAAAUGAUACAUACGUGAUGGAAUGUUCAAGAUGAACGUUCUUAC
rnacentral:lncRNA from 1 species